UACGAAGGGGGCUAGCGUUGCUCGGAAUCACUGGGCGUAAAGGGCGCGUAGGCGGAUCUUUAAGUCGGGGGUGAAAGCCCAGGGCUCAACCCUGGAAUUGCCUUCGAUACUGAAGAUCUCGAGACCGGAAGAGGUAAGUGGAACUGCGAGUGUAGAGGUGAAAUUCGUAGAUAUUCGCAAGAACACCAGUGGCGAAGGCGGCUUACUGGUCCGGUUCUGACGCUGAGGCGCGAGAGCGUGGGGAGCAAACAGG
rnacentral:rRNA from 1 species